UACGGAGGGUGCAAGCGUUGUUCGGAAUUACUGGGCGUAAAGGGCGCGUAGGUGGUUGUGUAAGUCAGAUGUGAAAUCUCCAGGCUCAACUUGGAAACUGCAUCUGAUACUGCAUGACUUGAGUGCAGCAGAGGGAAACGGAAUUCCUGGUGUAGAGGUGAAAUUCGUAGAUAUCAGGAGGAACACCGGUGGCGAAGGCGGUUUCCUGGGCUGACACUGACACUGAGGCGCGAAAGCUAGGGGAGCAAACAGG
rnacentral:rRNA from 1 species